UACGUAGGGUGCAAGCGUUAAUCGGAAUUACUGGGCGUAAAGAGUGCGUAGGCGGCUAUGUAAGACAGAUGUGAAAUCCCUGGGCUUAACCUAGGAACUGCAUUUGUGACUGCAUGGCUAGAGUGUGGUAGAGGGAGAUGGAAUUCCGCAUGUAGCAGUGAAAUGCGUAGAUAUCAGGAGGAACACCGGUGGCGAAGGCGGUUCUCUGGGCCUGUACUGACGCUGAGGAACGAAAGCGUGGGGAGCGAACAGG
rnacentral:rRNA from 1 species